rnacentral:rRNA from 1 species
CGCGUAGGCGGUUUGUUUAGUUAGGCGUGAAAUUCCUGGGCUCAACCUGGGGGCUGCGCUUAAUACAGGCAGACUGGAGUGUGAGAGAGGGUUGUGGAAUUCCCAGUGUAGAGGUGAAAUUCGUAGAUAUUGGGAAGAACACCGGUGGCGAAGGCGGCAACCUGGCUCAUUACUGACGCUGAGGCGCGAAAGCGUGGGGAGCAAACA